AUUGAACGCUGGCGGCAGGCUUAACACAUGCAAGUCGAGCGGGGAAAGGUAGCUUGCUACUGGACCUAGCGGCGGACGGGUGAGUAAUGCUUAGGAAUCUGCCUAUUAGUGGGGGACAACAUCUCGAAAGGGAUGCUAAUACCGCAUACGUCCUACGGGAGAAAGCAGGGGACCUUCGGGCCUUGCGCUAAUAGAUGAGCCUAAGUCGGAUUAGCUAGUUGGUGGGGUAAAGGCCUACCAAGGCGACGAUCUGUAGCGGGGCUGAGAGGAUGAUCCGCCACACUGGGACUGGGACACGGCCCAGACUCCUACGGGAGGCAGCAGGGGGGAAUAUUGGACAAUGGGGGGAACCCUGAUCCAGCCAUGCCGCGUGUGUGAAGAAGGCCUUUUGGUUGUAAAGCACUUUAAGCGAGGAGGAGGCUACCGAGAUUAAUACUCUUGGAUAGUGGACGUUACUCGCAGAAUAAGCACCGGCUAACUCUGUGCCAGCAGCCGCAGUAAGAC
rnacentral:rRNA from 1 species